UAGUGACCUAGCGGCGGACGGGUGAGUAAUGCUUAGGAAUCUGCCUAUUAGUGGGGGACAACAUCUCGAAAGGGAUGCUAAUACCGCAUACGUCCUACGGGAGAAAGCAGGGGAUCUUCGGACCUUGCGCUAAUAGAUGAGCCUAAGUCGGAUUAGCUAGUUGGUGGGGUAAAGGCCUACCAAGGCGACGAUCUGUAGCGGGUCUGAGAGGAUGAUCCGCCACACUGGGACUGAGACACGGCCCAGACUCCUACGGGAGGCAGCAGUGGGGAAUAUUGGACAAUGGGGGGAACCCUGAUCCAGCCAUGCCGCGUGUGUGAAGAAGGCCUUAUGGUUGUAAAGCACUUUAAGCGAGGAGGAGGCUACUUUAGUUAAUACCUAGAGAUAGUGGACGUUACUCGCAGAAUAAGCACCGGCUAACUCUGUGCCAGCAGCCGCGGUAAUACAGAGGGUGCGAGCGUUAAUCGGAUUUACUGGGCGUAAAGCGUGCGUAGGCGGCUUAUUAAGUCGGAUGUGAAAUCCCCGAGCUUAACUUGGGAAUUGCAUUCGAUACUGGUGAGCUAGAGUAUGGGAGAGGAUGGUAGAAUUCCAGGUGUAGCGGUGAAAUGCGUAGAGAUCUGGAGGAAUACCGAUGGCGAGGGCAGCCAUCUGGCCUAAUACUGACGCUGAGGUACGAAAGCAUGGGGAGCAAACAGGAUUAGAUACCUCUGGUAGUCCAUGCCGUAACGAUGUCUACUAGCCGUUGGGGCCUUUGAGGCUUUAGUGGCGCAGCUAACGCGAUAAGUAGACCGCCUGGGGAGUACGGUCGCAGACUAAACUCAAUGAAUUGACGGGGCCCGCACAGCGGUGGAGCAUGUGGUUUAUUCGAUGCACGCGAGAACUUACCUGGUCUUGACAUACUAGAAACUUUCAGAGAUGGAUUGGUGC
rnacentral:rRNA from 1 species